GUUGUAUGGUUAAGUGAYUAAGCGUAGACGGUGGAUGCCUUGGCAGUCAGAGGCGAUGAAGGACGUAYUAACYUGCGAUAAGCCCAGAUAAGGCAGUAAAAGCCAUUUGAGUCUGGGAUUUCCGAAUGGGGAAACCCACCUGCAUAAGCAGGUAUCUUAGCGUGAAUACAUAGCGCUAAGAGGCGAACUCGGGGAACUGAAACAUCUAAGUACCCGAAGGAAAAGAAAUCAAUUGAGAUUCCGGCAGUAGCGGCGAGCGAACCCGGAGCAGCCCUUAAGCGGCUUAGGCGUUAGGUGAACAGGUUGGAAAACCUGGCA
rnacentral:rRNA from 1 species